rnacentral:pre_miRNA from 1 species
ACAUAUAUUUUGGUUAUGUAGUUUCACAAAACUAUGUGGCUGUUUCACCUAGGACGAGGACAUGGCAUCCUAUUAUCAGCCAUCGCACGAAAUUAAUAUGAUGCCACGUCCUCAGACUAGAUGAAACAACCACAUCAUAUCACGGGUGAAUCUAUUCAUCGAUAGUGUGGUU